GUGGGAUCCUCCAUUACAUCAGUGUUGUUCUCUCACUCGUGUGCUAGACUAGAGCACUGACGUGGGCUCCUGGCAGAUGGCAUGCCAGGAUCUGAAGAUAUAAGAUGGCAGCGCCUGUGGGGGCAGCAUCCGGUAUGUGUCUCCCUUACACUGCACCCCCAGUGGGGAUGUCACCAUCAGGAGGGGGUCUGUUUGCAAAACAUGCAAGGACCCAAGAAACUGAAAGCGCCACUUU